GACGAACGCGGGCGGCGUGCCUAAUACAUGCAAGUCGAGCGAAGUUUUUUGGUGCUUGCACUAGAAAAACUUAGCGGCGAACGGGUGAGUAACACGUAAAGAACCUGCCUCAUAGACUGGGACAACUAUUGGAAACGAUAGCUAAUACCGGAUAACAGUAUUUCUCGCAUGAGAGAUAUUUAAAAGUUGGUUAUGCUAACACUAUGAGAUGGCUUUGCGGUGCAUUAGCUAGUUGGUGGGGUAAAGGCCCACCAAGGCGACGAUGCAUAGCCGACCUGAGAGGGUGAUCGGCCACACUGGGACUGAGACACGGCCCAGACUCCUACGGGAGGCAGCAGUAGGGAAUCUUCCGCAAUGGGCGAAAGCCUGACGGAGCAACGCCGCGUGAGUGAAGAAGGAUUUCGGUUCGUAAAGCUCUGUUGUUAGGGAAGAAUGGAUAUGUAGUAACUAUACAUGUACGAGACGGUACCUAACCAG
rnacentral:rRNA from 1 species